rnacentral:rRNA from 1 species
CUUGCUUUCUUGAUGACGACCAGCGAACGGGUGCGUAACACGUAUGGAACCUACCUUAUACAGGGGCAUAGCCCAGAGAAAUCUGGAUUAAUUUCCCAUAACAUCUGAGAGUGGCAUCACUUUUAGAUUAAAGCUUCGGCGGUAUAAGAUGGCCAUGCGGCCCAUUAGUUAGUUGGUGAGGUAACGGCUCACCAAGACCAUGAUGGGUAGGGGUUCUGAGAGGAUUAUCCCCCACACUGGUACUGAGACACGGACCAGACUCCUACGGGAGGCAGCAGUGAGGAAUAUUGCGCAAUGGACGAAAGUCUGACGCAGCCAUGCCGCGUGCAGGAUGACAGCCCUAUGGGUCGUAAACUGCUUUUAUAUGGGAAGAAACCCCUUCACGUGUGAAGGGCUGACGGUACCAUAUGAAUAAGCACCGGCUAACUCCGUGCCAGCAGCCGCGGUAAUACGGAGGGUGCAAGCGUUAUCCGGAUUUAUUGGGUUUAAAGGGUCCGUAGGCGGGUCUUUAAGUCA